AGGGAAGGGUCUCUUUCUGGAGAUCUCUUCUCUGUAGAAUCUUCCCUGUGGAUCUAGAUCUUUGGGCACAGGAUGGUAAAGUUGGAUUUCAGACACAAGAAAAUUCCAAUCUGCAGACAAAGCUCAACUUGCAGGUAUUCCCAGUCUGUAGGUCUUCCAGAAAUGGAGCAAGGCAUCCCACUGCCACUCAGUUUGAUGGGAGAACAAAGCGAUCUACUCAUGACAGCCAUCAUCCCUGAGAUAAUGAAGCAAACAUGGAUGAUUCCUGGGCUAGUGCACCCUUGCAAUUUCACCACUUGUCAAGAGCUUAUUGUGAUAUCUACAGUUCGGAAAAUACUACUGAGGAUGAAGUAUUUCCAAAUGCACCAGAAAGGGAGUGAUUGCAAAAAAUAUACAAACGUGUGAAGUGCCAGAUGUCCAGCAAGAUGGCAGAUGUGAUCGUGCAAUGUGUAUACAAGUCUCAACACAAAUGAACAAGCAUGAACAUGCAUGAACAUACCACAUAAGAACAUGUAAAUGUUAUGAUUACUACAAAAGUAAUUUUAUAAAUAAUAAAUAAGUAUAAAUAAUACUUUUACUCAUCUAUAGAAGUCCCUGGGUUUUGCAUAUAUACGUUACCUUAAAAAUUGCCAUUUUCUUAAAGUAUUUGGGCAUAAUGAAGACAUUUUUCUUUUUUUUUUUUGUGAGAAAAUCUGACAUUUGAGAACUUGAUGUUAUCUUAAAUAUUAUAUUUUUAGAGGUAAAGCUUGUAUACAAAGACACUUACAUUUAAGAAUAACAGACCUCAAAAACUUUGGGAAGCCCUUAUAUUAUUACUUAGAAUAUUAGUAUUGAAUUGGCAUAGUGAUUUUAUUGAGACGCACAUUUUAGAUUUUUUAUUUUAAUUAUAGAAUUUAAAGAUAGAUAAAGAAACAGUCAAAUAUACAUGAAUUAAAUUUUAAGGGAGACUGUUAAACCACAAAACAUCUGAAUAAUACUCCUUUCAGGCAGAAUUAAAUUGACCUCAGUGCACUUUAAAUUCCUCAUAUGAGUUAAUCUCAAAUGAAGCCACUUAAAAUAUGAGAAAGAUAUGUCUACAGAGGAAAGUACUAUGCAGAUUAACAGAUACUCUACAAUAAUACUUUCAGUUAACUUUAAUUAAUUUUUGUGAAUCACAAUGAAGAUAAACCUAUUAUGAAUGUAUUGUGCUUGUGAAAUAGCGUUAUUCAGCGGUUUUAGUUUUUUAAAUUUAUGAAAGGCAAAACAGUGUAUUUGCAUAGUAAAGUGAAGGCCAUAAAGAUUCUUAAUUCAGGCUGUUCAUGUAUGAAUUUAAAGUGAAUUAGCUAACAAUUCAUUCCUAUUAUACUUUCACAAAGAAAUAAGGAGGUCUGAAUUUCAUCCACAUGAACUGACUCCUGAUGUAAAGGCCAGUUAUUUCAAACAAGACUUUAAUGCAAUUUAAAGAUCAAUGUACAUUUUUUUUACUUGUU